GUAGAGAGAGUGGCAGGUAGCAGGAAGACGAGGAGAUGGAGCAGAUGGAGCAGAUGGAGAAAGAAACGAUCAGGGAAGCAUCGGUGGAGGUAUCAAAUGAAUUCAAAAUACUAAUCGAUGCUCAGGACUUGGAGUCCCUCAAGCAAUUGCAGCACCUUACAUUGGGGAGAUUGCAAGAUGGCAAUGCAGUUCUGUCACAUUUUAAUGAGUUUUCAGAGAACUGCUUUGCCGAGGUUUCUGGAGAUUUCUCCAGAAACACACGCCUUUUAAAGUCUAUGAAGACUGAUCUUGAAUACAUAUUUCAGAAGUUAAGGAGCAUGAAGUCAAGAAUUUUGGCUACCUAUCCUGAUGCAUUUCCAGAUGACUCGAAACAAGUACUCGACCAAAGACCAGACCUGGAAAUGCCUCUGUAAAACUAGACAACAUGUUCCUGCCUUCUUGAAAGAACAUGUUAUCGGUCUGCUAUGGAAGUGUUCCGAGAAUUAAGCCUGUCAGCAAAUGUGUUCAAGAUCUCUAUAAUCUCUUUUUCCUUGGAUUUAUAGCUUGCAGAGGCUUUCCUUAGAAGUUUUUGUUGUAUGUGGAAGCUGUGAAAGUUUGGCCUUGAUUCAAUCCGCCACCUCUGGUUUUCUGUUUGUAUGUGCUUGAUAUUGAUCGGAGGUGGGGAGGGAAAGGAGAGAAGGAGUACAUCGGACGAGGAGUCCGUGAUGCGCAGGAGUAGAGGUUGGAGAAAGCGAGCGUGAUCCGACAUAAAUUAUACCAAGAUUUUUUUUUUUUUUUUUUUUUUGUCGAACAAUAAAUUUGUUAGAUUAGGGAACCGACGAGAUUCGAAUCCAUACUGUAGUGUAAGGGCAACAGCCAGAUCAAUUUAUACGGUAAUUAUUUAUUACAUUAUAGUACCAAACCCUUGUCUUGUAUUAAAAUAAUCUUAUCUGGUGUGUAAUACGGGAAGGAGAAUUCUCUCCCUCCUAAUC